rfam:Stegodyphus mimosarum contig106990, whole genome shotgun sequence.
GCUUUCGUGGUGUAGCGGUUAGCACGGUGGGCGCGUAUUCCAGAAGUCCGUGGUUCGAUUGCCGGCGAAGGCG